GACGAACGCUGGCGGCGUGCUUAACACAUGCAAGUCGAACGGACAGGCCCUGCUUUUGUUGGUUUCUCGUUUGGCGAACGGGUGAGUAACACGUGAGUAACCUCCCCUUAACUUUGUGAUAACUUCACGAAACUCGGGCUCUUAUCCGAUAUGAUCUCCUGCUCCAUGGUGUGGGUUGGAAAGUUUCGGCGGUUGGGGAUGGACUCGCUGCUUCUCCGCUUGUUUGUGUGGUAGUUGCUUACCAAGGCUUUGACGGGUAGCCUGCCUGAGAGGGUGACCGGCCACAUUGGGACUGAGAGACGGCCCAGAAGCGUACGGGAGGCAGCAGUGGGGAAUAUUGCACAAUGGGCGGGAGUCAGAUGCAGCAACGUCGGGUGCGGGAUGACGGGUUACGGGUUAUAAACAGAUGUCGAAGGUGACGAAGAGUGAGUGACGGUAAUGGGUAAAGAAGCAACGGCUAACUACGUG
rnacentral:rRNA from 1 species